GAUGAACGCUGGCGGCGUGCCUAAUACAUGCAAGUCGAGCGAACAGACGAGGAGCUUGCUCCCCUGACGUUAGCGGCGGACGGGUGAGUAACACGUGGAUAACCUACCUAUAAGACUGGGAUAACUUCGGGAAACCGGAGCUAAUACCGGAUAAUAUAUUGAACCGCAUGGUUCAAUAGUGAAAGACGGUUUUGCUGUCACUUAUAGAUGGUUCCGCGCCGCAUUAGCUAGUUGGUAAGGUAACGGCUUACCAAGGCAACGAUGCGUAGCCGACCUGAGAGGGUGAUCGGCCACACUGGAACUGAGACACGGUCCAGACUCCUACGGGAGGCAGCAGUAGGGAAUCUUCCGCAAUGGGCGAAAGCCUGACGGAGCAACGCCGCGUGAGUGAUGAAGGUCUUCGGAUCGUAAAACUCUGUUAUUGGGGAAGAACAAAUGUGUAAGUAACUAUGCACGUCUUGACGGUACCUAAUCAGAAAGCCACGGCUAACUACGUG
rnacentral:rRNA from 1 species